ACACAUGCAAGUCGAGGGGAAACGGCAUUAAGUGCUUGCACUUUUUGGACGUCGACCGGCGCACGGGUGAGUAACGCGUAUCCAACCUGCCCCUUACCAGGGAAUAACCCGUUGAAAGACGGACUAAUGCCCUAUGCAGUCCUUUGACGGCAUCAGAUUAGGACUAAAGAUUCAUCGGUAUGGGAUGGGGAUGCGUCUGAUUAGCUUGUUGGCGGGGUAACGGCCCACCAAGGCAUCGAUCAGUAGGGGUUCUGAGAGGAAGGUCCCCCACAUAGGAACUGAGACACGGUCCUAACUCCUACGGGAGGCAGCAGUGAGGAAUAUUGGUCAAUGGGCGCUAGCCUGAACCAGCCAAGUAGCGUGCAGGAUGACGGCCCUAUGGGUUGUAAACUGCUUUUAUGCGGGGAUAAAGUCACCCACGUGUGGUGUUUGCAGGUACCGCAUGAAUAAGGACCGGCUAAUUCCGUGCCAGCAGCCGCGGUAAUACGGAAGGUCCGGGCGUUAUCCGGAUUUAUUGGGUUUAAAGGGAGUGUAGGCGGCCUGUUAAGCGUGUUGUGAAAUGUAGAUGCUCAACAUCUGAACUGCAGCGCGAACUGGCUGGCUUGAGUACACGCAACGUGGGCGGAAUUCAUGGUGUAGCGGUGAAAUGCUUAGAUAUCAUGAGGAACUCCUAUUGCGAAGGCAGCUCACGGGAGUGUCACUGACGCUUAAGCUCGAAGGUGCGGGUAUCAAACAGGAUUAGAUACCCUGGUAGUCCGCACGGUAAACGAUGGAUGCCCGCUGUUGGCGCUUUGCGUCAGCGGCUAAGCGAAAGCAUUAAGCAUCCCACCUGGGGAGUACGCCGGCA
rnacentral:rRNA from 1 species